CGUAUUUUUCUUUUUAAUAACGCAGGUUAGAAUACGGGACAUUUACGAGAAAAUACUAAUACGGGAGGACGGCGGGAAAGAAGGGUAAAAUACGGGUCUUUCCCGGCCAAAACGGGAUACUUGACAGGUAUGAGACUGAGGCAAACGCAGAGUAAAAUUGGUGUCUUUAAUGACAACAAAAGGAAAACAAAAACCGAGUGCCGUGCACUACAAAAUAUAACAAGGCGAUACAGAACAUGAAAUAAACACUGGAACAUGACAUACAACACAAUGAGUGACCAGGACAGAGAGAAAAUGGGACCGUUACAAAGUUCCUCUUCAAUGAAAGAAAUCGCGUUCCUUUGGAUCCUUCAGCACCACGGCCAACAGGGCACAAUAUAAAGACACCCGCCUGAUGAAGAAGAGGCUGAUGAGGCAGUGAUAGAAGUGUCUCUGACUGUUGGCCUUGUUUUGAAGACCCUGGAGAAACUCUUGAUGAAAACUUUUCCUUGUUGAUGAGGAGCUUUGGCCACACAGACCACCAGAAAGAGAAUGUCUUCAUGAUGUUUUAAAUUGUUGUACUGUGGUUUAUUUUUAUGGGCCUGAUGUCAUUCACUGUGUUACCAUCAAUCACAAUGACUACACUCAUCCCCUUUCAAUGCAUGUGUACAUUUCAGAUCAACACAGUAAAAAUAAAAACUUCCAAUGUUAUUUCCACUUUACACAAUUACAAAAGAAUGAAUACUACCAGCUUCUCUGCAAUUACUUUUACAGGGAUUCAAUGUGAAGCUAGUCAGCAUCUAGUCAGCAUCUAGUCAGUUGUUUCAGGAGGACGGGGAGCAUGCCUAAUUCAAUAAUAUACAUGAUAGUCAUGCAAUAGGCUGGCUAGUUUUGAUGGAUUCAAGGUUAAAUCUACUUAUUCAAGUGAUUUUGUCAGACCACUCAGUUUAUGACCAGUGUUUUGGACGGGUAUGACAUAUGCCAUAUGUUAACACAACAAAAGCUGGAAGCGGACAUGCAGUCAAAUGACCUUUAAUGUUCUUUAUUUCACUGUAAAAACCAGUCAACUCCAGUACGGUAUUCAAGCAAAUUGGAUUUGAAAUGAUACAAUUACUAGUAUUUCAGUGGUUCACAAUUUUUGCUUUAUUUUGAAGGUAUGUUUAUUUUGAAGGUACCAUAUCAGAUUAACCUUUAAGAGAUUGCAGAA